CAGGGAGACAACAAAAUGUUUAAUAUUAUUAUUUUGUCACCUUAGGUCGAUCGGUAUCUCACGUUUUUAAUUUAUUAAGAAUUUCAUUUCCUAAGUUUUUCUAGGUCACACCCAUUAUUUUUCCUGGGCCAUUAGCUCAGGUGGUUAGAGCGCACCCCUGAUAAGGGUGAGGUCCCUGGUUCAAGUCCAGGAUGGCCCAUAUCUCUAUGUUGGGGGUAUAGCUCAGUUGGUAGAGCGCCUGCUUUGCAAGCAGGAUGUCAGCGGUUCGAGUCCGCUUACCUCCACUGAUUACCACCUCUUCCAUAACCGGUAAAAAGGAAAGGUUUUGAGUUGUGAUCAAAUUCUGAAAGAAUCUAGCUUCCUAAUGAAAUCAUUAAGAUGCUGGACUCAUUGAAUUAAUUUCAUUGUUUUCAGAGAACCUUGACAACUGCAUAGAUUAUUUUUAAAGACAAUAAGCAUCUUUAAUGAUGCAGAUUUAUUAUUUGUGCGAAUGCAUUAAUAACAAUUCUAUUAAGCUGAUGCUUCAAUUUUUGAAGUUAUU
rnacentral:tRNA from 1 species